rnacentral:rRNA from 1 species
UCCAGACUCCUACGGGAGGCAGCAGUGGGGAAUACUGCACAAUGGGGGAAACCCUGAUGCAGCGACGCCGCGUGAGUGAAGAAGUAUUUCGGUAUGUAAAGCUCUCUCAGCAGGGAAGAAAAUGACGGUACCUGACUAAGAAGCCCCGGCUAACUACGUGCCAGCAGCCGCGGUAAUACGUAGGGGGCAAGCGUUAUCCGGAUUUACUGGGUGUAAAGGGAGCGUAGACGGCAUGGCAAGUCAGAUGUGAAAGCCCGGGGCUCAACCCCGGGACUGCAUUUGAAACUGUCAGGCUGGAGUGCAGGAGAGGUAAGUGGAAUUCCUAGUGUAGCGGUGAAAUGCGUAGAUAUUAGGAGGAACACCAGUGGCGAAGGCGGCUUACUGGACUGUAACUGACGUUGAGGCUCGAAGGCGUGGGGAGCAAACAGGAUUAGAUACCCGGGUAC